UAGGGAAUCUUCCGCAAUGGGCGAAAGCUUGACGGAGCAACGCCGCGUGAGUGAUGAAGGUCUUCGGAUCGUAAAACUCUGUUAUUAGGGAAGAACAAAUGUGUAAGUAACUAUGCACGUCUUGACGGUACCUAAUCAGAAAGCCACGGCUAACUACGUGCCAGCAGCCGCGGUAAUACGUAGGUGGCAAGCGUUAUCCGGAAUUAUUGGGCGUAAAGCGCGCGUAGGCGGUUUUUUAAGUCUGAUGUGAAAGCCCACGGCUCAACCGUGGAGGGUCAUUGGAAACUGGAAAACUUGGGUGCAGAAGGGGAAAGUGGAAUUCCAUGUGUAGCGGUGAAAUGCGCAGGGAUAUGGGGGAACCCCAGUGGCGAAGGCGACUUUCUGGUCUGUAACUGACGCUGAUGUGCGAAAGCGUGGGGAUCAAACAGG
rnacentral:rRNA from 1 species